rnacentral:misc_RNA from 1 species
UUGUUUAAAUUUACUUAAACUCCGACGCAAAGAUGCAGUGUUUGAAGGCCUCCGGGAGCGCUCGCCGUCGGAACGGCAGGGUCGCCCCCGAAGCGACAAGUUGGUGUUCACAAAGGGUUGGAGGUCGAGCCCGAAGGCCCUCGCUCAGUAAUGAUCCCUCCGCAGGUUCACCUACGGAGA